GAUCAUGGCUCAGGAUGAACGCUAGCUACAGGCUUAACACACGCAAGUCGGGGGGAAACGACAUCGAAAGCUUGCUUUUGAUGGGCGUCGACCGGCGCACGGGUGAGUAACGCGUAUCCAACCUGCCCAUCACUUGGGAAUAACCUUGCGAAAGUAAGACUAAUGCCCAAUGAUAUCCCACGAAGGCAUCCGAAUGGGAUUAAAGAACUUCGGUCAUCGAUGGGGAUGCGUUCCAUUAGGUUGUUGGG
rnacentral:rRNA from 1 species